rnacentral:misc_RNA from 1 species
UUUAUUUAUUUGUUUAUGUGUCACUCAGAGGAGAAAACCACUAAAGACAUAAGAGUUUGGGGCCUCCGGCGGGCGCCUGGUUCCGGGCCCGAAGGCGCCGGGGCGAUCCCGCCGAAGCAACGAUAGGUAAGGUUCACAAAGGGUUUGGGAGUUUGUAAACUCGGUAAUGAUCCCUCCGCUGGUUCACCAACGGAGA